GUGUCAGCAGCCGCGGUAAUACGUAGGGGGCGAGCGUUACCCGGAAUCACUGGGCGUAAAGGGGGCGUAGGCGGUUUGGCAAGUCAAGUGUGAAAUUCCACGGCUCAACUGUGGAGCUGCGCUUGAAACUGCCAAACUUGAGGCCAGUAGAGGGAGACGGAAUUGCCGGUGUAGGGGUGAAAUCCGUAGAUAUCGGCAAGAACGCCGGUGGGGAAGCCGGUCUCCUGGGCUGAGCCUGACGCUGAGGCCCGAAAGCUAGGGGAGCGAACGGGAUUAGAUACCCCGGUAGUCCUAGCCGUAAACGAUGCUCACUAGGUGUGGGGCGCACAUGCGCUCUGUGCUGAAGCUAACGCGUUAAGUGAGCCGCCUGGGGAGUAUGCCCGCAAGGGUGAAACUCAAAGGAAUUGACGGGG
rnacentral:rRNA from 1 species